rnacentral:tRNA from 1 species
GGGGAUAGAGCUCAGUGAUAGAGCAUAUGCUUAACAUGAGCGAAGUCCUGGGUUCAAUUCCCAGUAAUUCCA